GCCUGGACCAGUAGGAUCCAGAUCACAGAUUAAACCAGGAUACAGAUCCUAAUGGCCCCUGCUACUGAAGGUAACUGCCUGGACCAGUAGGAUCCAGAUCACAGAUUAAACCAGGAUACAGAUCCUAAUGGCCCCUGCUACUGAAGGUAACUGCCUGGACCAGUAGGAUCCAGAUCACAGAUUAAACCAGGAUACAGAUCCUAAUGGCCCCUGCUACUGAAGGUAACUCCCUGGAACAGUAGGAUCCAGAUCACAGAUUAAACCAGGAUACAGAUCCUAAUGGCCCCUGCUACUGAAGGUUAAUGCCUGGACCAGUAGGAUCCAGAUCCUAAUGGCCCCUGCUACUGAAAGUUAAUGCCUGGACCAGUAGGAUCCAGAUCACAGAUUAAUCCAGGAUCCAGGUUCAUUCGUGAUGACGCUCCUGUAAUGUACUAGGUUGUGUAAACCGGGUCAGAUCUAGAACUGAUGCUCCCUGCUGUCAUGUGACGUGAUGAUCUAGUUUAUCCAUUCGCUGAGCCGCAGCCGUCUUGUCUCUGCUCUGCUCCCGUUUUGGGGGCGGGGCCUUUCUGCUGAGGUUCCAGGUUCUUGCUGGCGUUCUGCUGGUUCUGACCCGGAACCGCACGGAGAGAAGGACUCGACCCGACUGCUACCAAGACGAUUAACUGUUCUGAUCA